GCCUUGCACCCCACACUCACAUCCCUCUCUGGUCUGCUCACAAGCCACCUGAGUUCGGUCCCUCGCUGCGGGUACAGCUGUGGUUCCGCUGGUCCUGCUUGUACAGUUUCUAAGCGCCUGGUCAGUGCUACCCAGCCCAUCUCACUGGCUUCUGCGGACCAUCAGUUCGCCCGGCGUCCCCCCAAGUUCAGCGGUGUCUGCAUCACUACAGUGAAAGCGUCCGAAGCCCCCUGUUCUGUGGGUAGAGAUCGCAGUCCUACUGGUGAAGGACGCGAUAGAGCCGGUCCCUCCAGCCGAUAUGAGGACUGGGUUUUACAGCCCUUACUUCAUUGCACCCAAGAAAGGCGGUGGGUUACGACUGAUCUUGGAUCUGCGAGUUUUGAACCAGGCCCUUCAUCAGCUACCGUUCAAAAUGUUGAUACAGAAAAGCAUCUUCGGGUGCGUCCGUCCCCGAGAUUGCUUUGCAGGGAUCGACCUGAAGGACACGUACUUUCAUGUAAUGAUUCUUCCGUGCCACAGACCUUUUCUGAGGUUUGUGUUCGAAGGACAGACAUAUUGGUACAAGGUCCUGCCCUUCUGGCUGUCCCUGCCUCCACGUGUCUUCACGAAAGUCGCGGAGGUGGCUCUUGGUCCCCUCAGGGAGCAUGGUGUUCGCAUUCUCAACUAUCAAGACGAUUGGCUGAUACUAGCACAAUCUCGGGAUCAGUUGUGCGAGCACAGGGACCUGGUGCUCUGGCACUUCAGCCUGUUGAACCUUCGGAUCAACUGGGGAAAGAGCAAACCCUCGCCAAUGCAGAGGAUCUCUUUUCUCGGUAUGGAGUUGGAUUCGGUCGAACACAAAGCACGCCUCACAGAGGAACAUGCGUGGUCGAUGCUAGCCUGCUUGAAUACGUUCAAGGAAAGGACAGCGGUCCCACUGAAACUUUUUCAGAGGCUCCUGGGGCAUAUGGCGGCUGCAGCGGCACUUACACCACUCGGCCUGUUACAUAUGUGACCGCUCCAGCACUGGCUUUAUGGCCAAGACGUGAGGUGGGCGUGGAAGCGCGGCACUCACCGGGUCCAAGUUACACCGGCCUGUCGCCAAACCCUCACCCCGUGGUCAGAUCUUGCAUUUCUCCAGGCAGGGGUGCCCUUAGAGCAGAUCUCCGGGCAUGCUGUGGUUUACACGGAUGCCUCCACCACAGGGUGGGGGGCCACAUACAAUGGGCAUGCAGUGUCAGGGGUUUGGAAGGGCCCGCAGCUGCAGUGGCACAUCAAUUGCCUAGAGUUGUUAGCAGUGCACUUUGCCUUGAACCAUCUCAAAGGUCGCGUAUGAGGCAAGCACGUGCUGGUCCGAACGGACAACACAGAGACCAUUGCGUACAUCAACUGACAAGGUGGACUGUGCUCCCGUCGCAUGUCGCAACUUGCCCGCCCCCACCUCCUCCUCUGGAGUCAUAA
ensembl:lncRNA